GCUGCCUGCACCACUCCGGUUGGUCAGAUGACCACUACCCCCUUCCAGUAUCCAGUAGUGGGUAUUCAGUUACUUACUAUUGUGUGUUGGUCGUUUACUGUGAGAAAAUUAGAGUGUUCAAAGCAGGCGUUUGCUUGAAUAGAUUAGCAUGGAAUAAUAAUUGAAGGCUUUCGUGUUCGAUUUGAUUGGUUUGUUCAUGGAAGCAAGGUUAAAAGGAACAGUUGGGGGUAUUCAUAUUCACUAGUUAGAGGUGAAAUUCUCGGAUUUAUGGAAGAUGAACAAGUGCGAAAGCAUUUACCAAGGAUGUUUUCAUUAAUCAAGAACGAAAGCUAGGGGAUCGAAGAGGAUUAGAUACCCUCGUAGUCUUAGCUAUAAACGAUACCGACUAGCGGGUAGUAGAGGUCAAAGUGUCUUUAUUAGUACCUUAUGAGAAAUCAAAGUCUUUGGGUUCCGGGGGGGAGUAUGGUCGCAAGGCUGAAACUUAAAGGAAUUGACGGAAGGGCACCACCAGGAGUGGAGCCUGCGGCUUAAUUUGACU
rnacentral:rRNA from 1 species